rnacentral:rRNA from 1 species
UGAGGAAUUUUGCGCAAUGGGGGAAACCCUGACGCAGCAACGCCGCGUGAGUGAAGAAGGCCUUCGGGUUGUAAAGCUCUGUCGAGUGGGAAGAAAGUAGUGAUCACGAACAGUGGUUAUUAUUGACGGUACCAUAGAAGGAAGCACCGGCUAACUCCGUGCCAGCAGCCGCGGUAAUACGGAGGGUGCAAGCGUUAUUCGGAAUUAUUGGGCGUAAAGGGCGCGUAGGCGGUUUAUCAAGUCAGAUGUGAAAUCCCUGGGCUUAACCCAGGAAGUGCGUUUGAUACUGGUAGGCUUGAGUAUGGGAGAGGAGAGUGGAAUUCCUGGUGUAGAGGUGAAAUUCGUAGAUAUCAGGAGGAACACCGGUGGCGAAGGCGGCUCUCUGGACCAAUACUGACGCUGAGGCGCGAAGGCGUGGGGAGCAAACAGG